GACGAACGCUGGCGGCGUGCUUAACACAUGCAAGUCGAACGAAGUGGCGAACUGGUGAGUAACGCGUAAUCAACCUGCCCUUCAGAGGGGGACAACAGUUGGAAACGACUGCUAAUACCGCAUACUGAAGGUGGGGAUUGAGUUUGAUGAGCUAGGUGGAGGGGUAACGGCCCACCAAGGCGAUGAUCAGUAGCCGGUCUGAGAGGAGGAACGGCCAAGAUGGGAAUGAGACACGGCCCAAACUCCUACGGGAGGCAGCAGUGGGGAAUCUUCCGCAAUGGGAGGAAGUCUGACGGGGCAACGCCGCGGGAGGGAUGACGGGCUUCGGGUUGUAAAGCUCUGUUAAUCGGGACGCGGUACCGGAAUAGAAAGCCACGGCUAACUACGUGCCAGCAGCCGCGGUAAUAC
rnacentral:rRNA from 1 species